AUUUGACCUUUAAAUGGGCGUUCAGCAUACUUCAGGUUGAGGUGUGGCUUUACAUAUAAAAAGUGGCAGGUGACAGGUGAGUCAGUGGAUCAAGUUACCAGCACACAGUUUUGGUGAACUCACUCUGAUCUGAACUUACAGGGUGUGAGGUUUGAAAUUUGGAGAUGUCUGGAAAGGGAAGAGGCGGGCAUUGUCAUGAAGGAGGGCAUGGACAUGGCCAUGGUGGUGGACAUGGCCAUGGUGGUGGACACGGACAUGGUCAUGGUGGUGGACACGGACAUGGCCCUCAUGCUCAUGGAUGUGAGAAGAAGCACAGGCGCCGGCACAAGCAAGGACACAGGCACCUCAAAUGCCACAAGAAGGGGAGGGAUUGUCACGGGGUGAGUCUGAAUACUGCAGCAGUGCAGAUUUGAUCCACAACAGGAAGUAGAUGCUAUUGAGCUGAAAGUGAAGCAUGACAUGUUUGUGUAAUACAGCCUGAAAAAUAUCACUGAAAUAAUCUGUUAUUCAUAAGAUGUGUUUGGAUGGUUAUCAGCAGGUGGCAGGACAGCAAAUGCACACUUUAAGCCAAUUUUAAGGAUAUUUUGAGGUCAUAAGUGAAAAAUAAACCCCUCAUCCUAACCACUCUGCCAAAAAGAGUUAACCACCCCUCAAUUUAGAAUCAAUGUGAGGACUUCACCAAAUAUCAUCUGUCUCUUCCCCAGGACUCCAGCAGCUCCUGCAGCAGUGACUCUGACUAGAUGAAGAUUUCUGGGGGGACCUGCAUGGAAACAUUGCUAUUUUAUACUUUCUGCUUUUAAUAUUACAUUUUUUUAACACAUGUAAAGAACAAAAAUAAACAUAAAGAAUAUGUAAAACAGAAGGUUGCUUCCCACAUCUAUAAAAACUGGAUGGUUUGUGGAGUAUCAUUUUAAGCCUUGAGCUUUGCCAUGCUUGCCUUGUUUUUUGAAUUAGAACAUGACAAGGGUGGCUCAACCCUACCUGAGAAACUGAGGAAACUGCAUUCUCACUGGGUAGCAACCUGCCAAUCACAAGGCAGCUCCGCCUUAAAGCAAAGCCUUCAUCAAUCUCUCUUUUAAUUGGAACAUGACUUUCAAAAAAAUAUUAUGUUGUAGAGCUAACCAUAAAGUCAUGUGUAAAGUGUUUACUGAGGUCAUAAAUCAGGCUAAGGCUACGUCCACACGUACACGGGUAUUUUUGAAAAUGCAGAUUUUUCUAUGCGUUUGCACCUUUCUUCCACACGUAAACGGCGUUUUCGGUCACUGAAAACUGAGAUUUUUAAAAACUCCUGCCAGGGUGGAGAUUUUCGAAAACUCCAUUUUUGCAUUUAUGUGUGGACGAAAACGGAGAAAACAGUCAAAGGUGUGCGCCUUUUUUGACGUCAGGUUUCGGUUCUACAAUGGCGGACUUAGAGAAAAUAAAUUUACUGUUCUCUGCAGUGUUUAAAUGCUUGCAUAUACACACACAGUCCCAGACUACCUCUGGUCAGUCAGCCGAUCUUGAACAAUUCAGUAAUAAAACAAACCAAACUCCAGCUUCAAGAACAACUUCAACCAUGCAACAUACAGAUGGAAAAAAAUCAUUUACAAAAGGUGAAAAACUGAUAAACUUAAGUUCUCUGUGUACCAGGUUGGGACUGGAUGGGAUGAAAAUGGUGUGAAUUUGUUCUGUUUUUGUUUUACCAGUUUGAAGGUGUUUUUGUGAGGAUCUUUGCACUUGCAGCUUGCAAAAGAAGAGCCAUAAAACUCUUUAUUGAGCCUUUAUUAAACCCAUAAUAUUCUCUUGGCAGAAAGAUGUCAAGUGUGAGACAUAGAGGAGGAUGGUGCAUCAUCGGUGUAGAAAGAAGAAUCCAUAGAAUCAGUUUAGGUGACCGCUGAAGUUCAGGAAUAGCCCAAAAUCUACUUGAAUACAUAAACUUAUUGCCUUCUAAACACAUUGUUUUAGUUUAGUUUCAUGCUUUGGGUUUAAUUCCAUCUCUUCUCUGACACAGGGGAUGAAUGGAUCUUAGCUCUGGGACACCUGCUUCGCUGUGCAGGCUUACCUCGAGGUAACAUAUAGAUGACCUCUAAUUCUUACAAUAGUUUCAGCCGAAGUACAUUUAGGCUCAUGUGUAACAGCUCUUCUACUGUAUUUGACUCACCACCUGGGGACAGGGGAGGGUCCUCAGCUAAAGGAGCUCAUUUGCAUUAGUAUUCAGUAUCCACCCAAUGCUUUUAAUUCCUUAAUUAAACACUUUAAACAAUCAAGUGCUACAUGUUGUUUUUGUAGUAUUUAUUUUGCUUCCAGAUCCUGAGAUGACAUCAGAGAGAAAGUCAAAGAAUCCUGAAUUAUAAUCUGUGGGUGAAUUCCCUGGCAGCAAUGGUAAUAGAAGUACACCCAAAUGAGAAACAUUUGCAGAUAUUUAAGUGAAUUUAAUCCAAUUUGACUGGUGAUUUAAACAUGCAGCUUCUGUGUCCUGGUGACCAUUGAAAUGUCAUUUUAUGUAGAUAAGGUUUUAAGAUAAUGGGCCAAAUACACGCUGGAUGAGCUUUUAAGAUUGUUAUCAAGUUGCAAGACUUGAUUAAAUUCAAUUCAACUGAAGGUGCUUUAUAUUGUAAGGUAGACCCUACAAUAAUACAUAUACGAAAAACCCAACAAUCAUAUGAUCCUCUAUGAGCAAGCACUUUUUUGACAGUGGGAAGGACAGGCUCAGGGAGGGGCGGCCAUCCACCGUGACUGGUUGGGCUGAGAGUUGACCACAACAGUUUUUAUACUGACACUUUCAAAAACCUUUUUUUUCAAAGUGGUUGAAUUGUGGCCAACUGCACAGCAGAAGGCCUGAAGUCACUGAUGCUGCUGCAGGUGCUCUGCCCCUCCGUCAUGCACCCCAUUACCUCCAAGCAUCUGUGUGACGCCGUCAACGUAGUGAGUCUGCAGAAAGAUAUAAAAGGAGGACUUAUUCAGUAAACUUUUUUUUUUUACAGCUCAUAAUGUCAACAUCCUGUUUGUUUUUAUGCCCCACACAUCUGCAUCAAACUCUCAGAGAGCUCCAGGUCUGCUGCAGCAAGCUUCUGCUUGCCUUUUAAAAACAUUCAAAUAAACUUUUUGUCUUAUUCACAGUGAAUCUUUCCUUUUAGUUAAACUAUUUCAUCAUAUUAACAGGUAACGGGUGAGCAGAGCCAUCAUUGAUGGUGAUACAGAAGCCUGUAGCAGGAGUACUGACGGGGCUCCUGAAUACUCAGUACCCAUCUUAUCUUAAAAACC
ensembl:lncRNA